UGGGCUGUAUUUUGGUGGGUGAUGCAAAUGUCUACGUGCAAGGUUGUCCUGAGGUUCAGUUGGCCUAAGAGAAACCUGUGGACUUCUGUCUAAACUACAGCAGAUGAUGGAUCACAGAUACCUUGACACACACUAAAAGUAAAAAGUUUGUGCAGCAUCGUAAUCCAGUUCAUCUUCCACGGUGUGGGAAACGUCGCUGUUGUCUCCUACCACGAAGACCGUUCCAG